UGGCUGGAUGCUGGCAUCUCCCAGGAUCAGCCGCAUGAGGUAAGGAAACAGAGAAGAAUCAGAGGCAGAAGGACAGACAUCUGUCGUGCUUUCGUCUCAGCAACUCACACUACACUUCUGAGGCUAAACUCGGGCUUUCUGGCAUGUGACCUAACCUGAAACCAUGCUCCUUGGUGCUAUGCAGGACCCAUCGUCCAAGAAAACGUACCUCCUGCCCAUGAGAAGCUUGUGAUCAAGAGAGAGAAUAGACGACAUGAAUGGUGUCCUGAGCAGUUUUACCAUCGGCAGGCUUUUGUCUUCCACCUCAUUUGCCCCUUGCACCUUGCGGAGACAGCUGCUAUCAUGCUUUGCAUCUCAUCAGGCUUUUAAGAAGGAGAGAGUGAACCAGGGUGAGGCCCAAGCUGCUGAGACAGAAUUAAAAAGGAGCUGCUGCAAGCAGAGAGGGCGCAGGGCUUCACAAAGAGGCAUUUUCAGACGGGGCCCCUGGUGUGGAGCUCUGACUCCAGGUUGGCUGUAAAUUAAUAUCAAACACUAAAACGGCCUCACUCCCCUCUCCUACGAUUGUGGUGAUGGGCCCUCACGACUGGGCUACCAGCUUUCAUAUAAUGCUAAUAAAGAGAGACACAUAGGAUCUUCCUAAUCUAGUGUGCUUAAUCCAAGACAUCAUUUAAUUUUAUGAUGGCUGGUUUGUCCCAAUUAAGCCAGAUGUGUGCACUGAAGUCUUUCUCCUCGUGGAUCCAGUGGAAAUGGCACUGAGUGCUGAACCCGCUCCAGAGCAUCUUGCCAGGUGCUAAUCAUGAGAUCUGUAACAAGCGUCUCCUUUCUCUGCAGCCCUGUUCCCCUUUUAUAAAAUGGCUGAUUAGGGUCAGGACGGAGGAUGCCAACUGCAAGCAGCCCACAGAAACAGUUUGCUACACACACUGAAGAAACGUUAAAUUCACUACCAACACUAAAAAAUUGGCAGAGUCCACAUGCAAAACUUCAUUUUUGGCUUCUCUCAGAGAACUGGGGGACUGGGCCACGAGAUCCACAUUCCAAGAAGGUGGCAGCUGGAUGGCACCGAUCAUCGGGCCCUGCGUCUCGCGGAUCAAAUGCUGGCUUUCUGCUCUGCCACGCCCCCUCCAGCACCCCCGCUCCCUAUUAUGACAUCUGGCCCUGCUAUUCAUCCGUCCAUUCUCUGGUUCCUAUGUUCUAGUUUGAAACCGCCAUGCUGCCCAAAGCUUUUCUAGUUGAAUUUAGGAUUUUGAGGAUCAGUGUGAUCUGGAAUAGUCCAGUUGAAAAUACUCUUGCUGGGUCAAUAUUUUAUUGAGACCAAUAUAUUAUAAUUCUACUAACAAACCUAAAAUGCCUCUGAUUCAAUUUACUCUCUCUCUCUAGUUUGAAAGCCUGCUAUAUAAAAAGAAUUUGCUGGCAUAUACUGGAGAUAUAAGGAUGGAUAUAAAUUUGGUAGAAGAGAAGACAGAAAAUAAACAAGGAAGUGGCCAAGUGAAUGUUAAUGAAAUUAACAUCUGAGGGAAUCUCAGUGUCACAGAGGAGGAGUUUUAUGGAAAAGAACCAUUUAGAUGGCAACUCCUUUGGCUGAAGAGUUGACAUUUAAGCAGACAAUAAGGGCUAGAGAAGAAGCCAGACAAAGGUCAGUGGGGCUGGAUACUAGAGGGUGGAAGCGAGGGGUGUGGCGAGGAAGUUGAUGAGUCAGGCAGGGGCUAGACCAACCGGGCACUGGAGGAUCUAACCGAGGGCCAAGCUUCAUUUUUCAAGGUCUUGGGUAAUGCAGACAAAACCGUUAUUAGAUGCCAAACUGACAUGGAUCAUAGUCUCAACUCAGGGAACCCACAGAGAUUGAAACAAAAACAUCCUUGUCACUCCCCCCCAUCCAACUUUGUGACCUUCCUUCUGUGCCCUUUCCCCAAAUUAUUUGUCCCUCCAGUGAGUAAAUCUCAUUAAAGACAUAAUUUGCAUAUGGUGGUUUCUUCUC